AAAGGAAGAUUAAUACCCCAUAAUAUAUUUUACGGCAUCGUAAGAUAUUGAAAUCCGGUGGAUAGAGAUGGGCACGCGCAAGAUUAGAUAGUUGGUGAGGUAACGGCUCACAGUCAAUGAUCUUUAGGGGGCCUGAGAGGGUGAUCCCCCACACUGGUACUGAGACACGCCAGACUCCUACGGGAGGCAGCAGUGAGGAAUAUUGGACAAUGGGUGAGAGCCUGAUCGCCAUCCCGCGUGAAGGACUAAGGCCCUAUGGGUUGUAAACUUCUUUUAUACUGGGAUACCUACUUACGUGUAAGUAGCUGAAGGUACAGUAUGAAUAAGCACCGGCUAACUCUGUCAGCAGCCGCGGUAAUACAGAGGGUGCGAGCGUUAAUCGGAAUUACUGGGCGUAAAGCGCGUAGGCGGCUUGUUAAGUCGGAUGUGAAAUCCCUGGGCUCAACCUAGGCAUUGCAUGAUACUGGCAAGCUAGAGUAUGGGAGAGGAAGGUAGAAUUCCAGGUGUAGCGGUGAAACGUAGAGAUCUGGAGGAAUACCGAUGGCGAAGGCAGCCUUCUGGCCUAAUACUGACGCAGGUGCGAAAGCAUGGGGAGCAAACAGGAUUAGAUACCCUGGUAGUCCAUGCCGUAAAAUGUCAACUAGCCGUUGAGCCCCUUUGAGGGCUUAGUGGCGCAGCUAACGCGAUAAGU
rnacentral:rRNA from 1 species